ACAGAAAUUUUAUUUAGUGACGCCAGCUACGAGUUAUCUCGUAGUGCUUUUUUUUUCAAUAAAAAUUGCUGUAUUCCUCAAAAUAAAACCUUAGCACCCAGGGCAAGACGCUCUAAAUACAUCUGGCAGUCAAUGGGUUAAUGCCAAGCAAACUCGAAAAGAAGCGGACGUCGAUAUUAAUUCUGUUGAUGAUGAUAAAGGAAAGAUAAGAUUAAUUAAUUGUGAAUGAAAUUAACAAAGAAAACGUAAAAAAAGUAGCUCAGGUUAGAAAAUUACUACCCGAAUUGAAUGUUGUCCCGAAGUCAUUAAAUAAUAGCUAUAACGAGGCAGUUUUUCCAAAAUCUCUUCACAUCUGUAAUUCAAAUACGACCAUUACUUCGAAAUCUACACAACUAAAUAUCGUAGUUGCUUCAUUACCUAAAUCAUCAUAAUGUAAUAUUUCCAACAAUUCGCAGGCAGCUAAGGAAACAUUUCCUACUAAAUCAUCAUCGGAAGCAUCUAGUAGAUUGGUAACCACUUCCACAAGACAGAAAUGACAAAGAAGUCUAAAUUUUCGCCCAUAGCGAAAAGUAAACAAAAAAUAACUGCAGAACUAAUAAGGAAUCAGCUAAGAGAAAAGAGAUAUCUGGACCCUUCCUCCAGAUCGUCACUAGCUCCCUGCAGGCUUCUUUGACUUGUUUGGAAAAUCGCUCAAACUCUGUUUUGAGUAAUGGGAAUAAUGAUGAUAAUUCCUGUAUAAAUGACUUAAGAAAUGACAGAAUUUGUUUCAAAGCCGCCAUUGCUUGCUCUUGCACUCUGGUUAUUUGAGAUUUGUCAAGUCUUUGCACUUUCGGGAGCAACCAUAGUCUACGACAUCCAUUUCGUCGGUCAGUACUUCACUGUUCUUUGUUGCAUUAACUUCAGCCGAAUCGUUCUUUAUACUCGCGGAAAAAUAAUAGCGAUAAAUUUAAUGGCAGAAAGCUCUCUGUUAUUGUAAACAGAUUAAUGCUUAGGCACAAAAAUUCUAUUUUAGAAAUAUACAAGCAAGAAUUACCAAGUGUUAAAAGCAAAUUUAAGAUUAAAGAUCUGGCUGGGGAAUUAAAAGCCGAAACCGAAAGUCUAUGCUCUUAUACACAAUCAAAGUAAAAAGUGCUAAAAAUCGAGAGAGUAAAAUCUUCGAUAAAUAUGAGAAAAAUAGCAUCACUUCCAAGUGCCUCGAUUUGGUUUGGAUACAAGAUGAAAAAUCUCCUUAAGUCCUAUUACCGAAAAAAAAUGUAAAAAUUUAUUAGCGGAAAGGGGUUCUCCUCCAAAAAAAAAAAUUAAUAAAACCAAAGCCAGUAAAAAGCGUGCAGAACUAGCUAAAAGAAUCCACGACACGGAUACUUUAGUUACACAAAUACAACAGCACAAAAGAGAUAAACAAAAAUUAGAAGAAGUUUUUGGUAAUUUUCAGGACAGUGUUAAUAAAGUGAAGGACUUGUACACAGAGCCAAAUGAAAAGCUGAACAUUACAAGAAGAAACUUAAAAGAAUUAGAAGAGAACUAUAAGACUCUUCAUAAUGAAAUGAUUGAUCAAAAAUUGGGUUAUGAUCAACUACUGGAUUUGCGGGAAAAAGAAAAAGGACGGCCUUUGGACUAUCAUGAGUUGGUUGUAAAGUAUUUAAAAAUUGUGGAAUCGCAAGGCACCCUCAAAUUGCAAGACAAUCGUACAAUCGUUACUGUAGUAAUAAGAAUCUCGAAAUUUACGCAUGCUGCAGUCCCGAAAAAUUGCGCGUAAAGUUGAAAGUGAAAAAACAAGAAAAAUCAACGCAAUGCGAAUUAUGGCAGUAAGAGUCAUAUAAAAGCCAUUCUAUAGAAAGCAAAGAUCAAGCAACACAAUGCCAAGUAGAGCUAUUUACUCAAGAUACACAGCAUACAAGCACAAUGACCACAUGAGAGACUUCGACUUUGUGUUUUAUUAAACAACGUCACGGAGGUACUUCGCUCUCAGAUCUCAAAUUGUAACCCUCUGAGUAGGAAAUACUUUCCGAGUUUGGGAAGUGGGAUGUAACACCAAAACAAUCAUUAUCUCUUAAAAUUUAGAAAUUCUAUAACAGGGAAACACAAAAGCGAAGAAAUAAUAAAAUCUCUACCCAGGUGUAACUAUCAAAAAGCUUCAUGUUCGCGGAAUGUCGGGCAACAAACUGAAGACGUCAGCGAUUCAUGGUUUUCUUCUUCGAAUCUUGAAUCGUUAGUUGAUUCCAAUUCAACCACUGAUAAGCCAUCUAAAUUUGGCUGGAGACCUUGGGGAAGCUACGAUAUCAUCAAAGCUUACUUGCUUUGAAUAUGUCCAUAUGCGUUUCCUCGCGUGAUUGUAUUAAUAAUUCCAAUAUGUUUAAACAAGCAGUUGAAAUGUUUUCUGCCUGCCCUUGCUUAUGCUCGUAAGAUUGUUUUGGCAACAAAUAAAGCAGAAACUUCGGUAACAAUGCCUGGAAUUCGAUGUGUAAUUGAUGCUGGUUAAAACGACGAACACCUAGCAUAGGUUGAAUUUUUGGCGUGCAGUGCGCAUGUCACAAGCUCAAGCAUGCCAACGAUGUAGCCGCGUUGGGCGCGAUGCUCCUGGUGUUUGUUACUGCACUUACACGCAGCACGAAAUGAAUGCUUUCGAAAAGAUGCCUACACCCAUUCUUCUCCAAUGAUUUGCCCUUGGAUUGAAUUGUCGCAGUUUCGACUUCCUUGAUCGUCCUUCUCCGGAAGCAAUUGUAACCCUAAAUUGCCGCGCCACGGUUCGGGUGCAUGGAGGGAAUGCUUUAUUUAGUGGCAGUACUUUCAGGAGAAAAUGUUUUGUUACGAGUAAUGAAAAAUGGGAAUAGGUGGCUCUUGCUCAUACAUUUUUGCAAUGCUUGACCCAUAGCGAAUAUUCACUCAUUGCGAGGAGGCGCAGAGGAGUGGAUGCGUGGAGGAGUGGACACGCGGAGGCCUGGAGAUCGCUAUUAUGAUCUGGUGAGCGGCGGCACAUCUCGGUUAAAGAUUAAAUAAAAACAAAUGAUUACUUGUUAGACUAUAAAAUAUAUCUUAAAAGGACUUUAUGUUGAUGUCCUUGCGCUCCUUGAAGUUUUUUCCAGAUAGCAGCAUAAACAGCACGAAUCCCAAUAAAUUAGUUCGGUGCAUCAAGCCGCUCCUGCACGAUCUUGCUGUCCAGAAGAAGGCAAGUCUCUCCACUAACGUCGCCUGCAUACACCUACCUAUAUUCUGCUCGACCAUAUGUUGCCUCAAGCACGCGUAUAAAACCUCGUAGGCCUCCUUAAAUGCUGCGUGGACCUGUUGCAAUGGAAACGCCAGCUUGCGAUAUUUGGAGAUGAAGGUCGAACCUCUUCCUACAGCGGGAGAACUUGCAGACAUGCCUGGAAUCCCAGCUGGUCAAGGAUGUACCGCGCAAUUGCGCAUCCUGUGAGCAGCUGCAGGAAUUCUUCAAGUUCUGCUGGAGGGUCAGAUUGCUAAAUACCUCCCCAUCAAGGUCGAAUGGUACUAUAUAUUCUUCGGCCUCCGCUUCCAGUUUUGCAGCGCAAUGCAUUGAUGAGGAGGUAGUCGUUAUCAGUUCUGACUCCUUCUGUCCACCGUUCCACCUGUAAGGCCACCAGAUUUCUUGUCAGCGUCACUAUUUCUUCUGAUGACCUGGUCCUCUCCCUCAUGCACAACGCCAUCCUGGCUUGCCCUGUAUGGCGCGAUGGUUAUGCUAGGGUAAGCAGCUCGUCCAUGAGUGCUCCGAAGUUCCUGAUUGUCAGCCGCGCGUCCGCCGCUAAAUUUUUUAAUAAAUAAUCAUGAACGUCUGCCCAGUCAGCUUUGAGCUCCGCUGUUGAUCGAGCUAUGGUGGAAGAUGUGCGCGAACUUCGUCAGCAUUGCGGUCAGGUCGCACGUCCUUUGCGCCUUGCCAUCAUCGUCUGUAGUGAAAUAGGAUUCCCCAUAGCAUGCUAUAUGCCGGCAUGCAGCCUCUCAUUUCCCAGAAUGAAGAGCUGAGCGCUUUCAUCUGAGCCAGCUUUGUUAUUAUAUUCGCAUCGUACAUGUCAUUUGUCUACCUAUACUUAGCCAGGAAUGCGUGUAAUAUGUGGGGGUAGUCAAAGAGUACAAGUACCUGAUGUGUGCUGCCGUCUGCCCGCCUCAUGUUGUACACGCCGUUAAUAAAUUUUCCGAGGAAUCGUCUGUUAGGCACAUUUCUGCCGCAGACGACAGCCCCUCACAGCCAAGCAAAAAUUCAGUGGUAUGUCAAAAUUACCAAAAAUCAAUAAACAGUUGUCUCACAAUGAGCAAAAUCAACCAGUGCGUGUGUGAAAAUGCCGAAAAUCAAUCCACAUUACUCUGAAAAUGAACAAAAUACAUAUAUUUUUUUAUAAAAGCUCUUAAUACAACUGAUAAUAAGAAAAAAGCUUCUAAUGUGGUAGGUACAAUGGUGUCUGAAAAAAAUUAUAGAAAGACAUCUAACUAAAGGCAGAAAAUUCAUUGUACUUACUUUACGAAAUAAUCUUUCUAUUUCGUUAAAAAUCCGCCUGAGUGGGCGAAGGCAAGGAAACUCGACUAGCAACUCAAUGGUCGUGGGUUCAA